CAAAGACCGUUCAUACUUAUAUUUAUUUCUAUAAAAGCCUUGUAUUCAUAUUUUUGAUUUAGAUACUCGAUUAUCGACUGAUGUUAGGUCUUGGGGUGGUUUCUUGUGCUUUAUUGCAGUUGUUCCUUUUUUUUCAUUGCUAUUUAUUUUCUGCUUUAUUGGUUCAUCUUCCAUUGGAUAGCCCGUUACUUCUCGUUCUGGGGUAAGGGUUAAAUGUUAGUCAUACCUACUAGUCGAUAUUAGCAAGUGUCAUCACAACUUGAGAAAUUAGAUUUUCACAAGUUGGUAUCAGAGCUCUAGGUUGACCGGCAUCAUUAGAAUGAGGGUAAUGCCUACUAGAGCCCUGUGGAUCAGUACGGAGAUGUCCAUAUCCUAUCUUCGGGAGGCUAUGGGGGCAUAGAUAGAAAAUUCGAUUCUUGACUCCUUAUCGUUUGUCCUUGCUUUGAAUAAUCUCUAAACUGAUCCUUUGGAGUCCAUUCUUUUUGAUAUGGAUAACACGAGGUUUCUGGUGAACCCAAUCGGAGCGUUAACAGGUUUUACCAAAGUUUCAGUAAAUGGUUCUUAGGCCAGAAAUGGGUUCGUGGUUCCCUAGUAUGGUCUAUCCUUAUUAUAAGAGCACGUCAUGUAAUUUCUUGAAUGGGUUGGGAAUAAAUCCACAUCAUCCCCUAUGGUUUGGAAUAUGAGCCGGGAGUUUGUCGGGGGAUUGUCUUUGCCACUUUAUUUGGCAUCAGAGCAUUUAAUACCAGAUGGGUCUACCAUUCCCUAGAUUGUCAGCCAUGUGAGGGCAGUGGAGCAGGCAUCCUUUGAUGCAUACAAAUAUAGUGCUAGGAGGCCCUGCCAUCAGCACAGAGGUGAUAACAUCCAUCUUUAGGGCGAGUAUCAGUUUAACAAGGGUCAUCUUCCUUCUUGAGCCAUCAGGCCUACGAUGGUAGAACCUCAGGUCCCAAGAGGUUUUGAGGUAAGUCAUGGAGCUUACGGUGGGUAGAAUUAAGUUUUUGGAUCUCAAUGUUCAUAUUUUAGACAUCUAGGUCAUAAGGUCCUGGUGCAGUCAGCUAGGGGUAGGGACAGAUAUGGCAGCCAACCCCGCCAGUAUAGUUCUAUGGAAGGCUAGAGCUCGAGGGGAUCAGAUUCACUUUCUUCCUACCGAGGUUAGGUUAUUAUAAGAUUUUUAACUUUGGGGUGUUAUGAUUAUGGGGAGUUUGAUCACUGGUACCGAGAGUGCCCUAGGUGAGAGUUGAUAUUUUAGACAUCUCAGACUCCUCAUACUCACCGGACCAGAGUUUUUCGGCCUUGCCGUACCUGUGGAGAGCUUGGCCAUCGAUGCAUAGAUUGUCCCCAACAUGGGACCCAUGCACAGUUUGCUCAGCUAGGUUUGUCUCAUGGGUCUAUGUUACCUCUAGUUGGAGGUAGUGCUCAGAGUGUUGUUGGUGGUGCUUCAGGUGUUCAGGCCAAGGGUCCGACGAUCAUCGUGCACCUCCCCUUUUUGGCUAGAGGUUUAGCACUAUUAUCUCAUUGUUGAAAUAUUCCCCCACAAAGAAACCACGUAAGAAGGAAUGUUGAGGAGGAGAAACAAGCUCUACAUGACCGUUUGAAUGAGAAAGUCUCUUAUGUGGAUCCCAAGUCGUGGCUGCUCAAGAAAAUAGGGAAGUAGUGGCUCUCGUGAACCCAAAUAUAGGUACGUUGGCUAGUCAAGUUUGUGAUUUCACUCGUAUGAACCCUUUUGAGUUUUAUAGUUCUAUAGUGGAUGAGGAUCCACAAGACUUCAUUGAAGGUAUUGGAAAGAUUUUUCAGAACAUGAGCAUUAGCUUGGUAGAGAAGGAAGGUUUAGCAUCUUAUCAACUCAAGGGAGUUGCACAAAUUUUGUAUGACUAAUGGAAUAGUGAAAGAGGUAUAUAUGAUAACGCCGUUGAUUAGGAAGAGUUCAAAGGUGCUUUCCUUGAUUGUUUCUUUCAUUUGGAGUUGAGAAAGUCUAAACUGCAAGAGUUCAUCAAUUUAAGAAAGGGUAGCAUAAGUAUAAAGGAUUAUGUUCUUAAGUUCACUAAGUUGUCAAAAUAAACCCCUUUCUUGGUUGCCGAUCCCAGAGCUUGUAUGAGCAAGUUGUUUUGGGUGUGUUGGACUUAGUAGUCAAAGAAUGUAGAACUGCCAUUCUAAUCAAGAGAUGGAAGUCUCUAGACUUAUGGCACAUGGUGAACAAAUACAGGACGAGAAGCUAAAAGAGAGAUCUAAAAGGUAUUCUAAGAGGGUUCAAACUUAUGGUGGUGAGUUUUCUUAUGGUAAUUUCAGGAAUGGUGGACGUUCUCACUUUCACCAAAACUAUUCCAGCCAAAAUUCUUCACAUCUCCGACUCCAAAAUUUGAUAAGGAUAUUGUUCCCAGCCCUAAGGUUCAAGGAAGAGAUCCGAGUAUCUAAGCCAUUCCUACAUGCAAGAAAUGUGGAAGAAACCAUAGGGAAGAAUGCUUGGCGGGAUUGAGUACAUGUUAUAGGUGUGGUAACCCAGAUCAUCAUGCAAAGAAUUGUAGAGGUGGCGGUCAACCCCAGGCUAAGACUUAUGCUACAAGCAGUCUGGUUCAGUAGGGUGUUACUAUAGGGUUUGGUGGUUGAUGUAAGGCCAAAAAUACAUAUUUUUAGUCAUUAUUUACCUCAUAUUUCAUCUUUUUAUUUGUUCUUUUUAAGCAUAAAUUUUAUGGAUUAUGUUAAAUAGUGUAUUUUAUUUAUAGGAUUAAUUUGAUGCAAAGUGAAGAAAUUUGGAGUCAAAAUGAAUUAAAGAUGAAGGACUAAAGAAGUAAAAUCAA